rnacentral:rRNA from 1 species
CCUCUCGAAAGAGAGAUUAAGCCCGCAUAACAUUAAGAUGUGGCAUCACAAUUUAAUCAAAUAUUUAUAGGACAAGGAUGGGCAUGCGGAACAUUAGCUAGUUGGUAAGGUAACGGCUUACCAAGGCUACGAUGUUUAGGGGAUCUGAGAGGAUGACCCCCCACACUGGUACUGAGACACGGACCAGACUCCUACGGGAGGCAGCAGUAAGGAAUAUUGGUCAAUGGGCGGAAGCCUGAACCAGCCAUGCCGCGUGCAGGAAGACGGCCCUACGGGUUGUAAACUGCUUUUAUACGGGAAUAAACCUCGAUACGUGUAUCGGGCUGAAUGUACUGUAAGAAUAAGGAUCGGCUAACUCCGUGCCAGCAGCCGCGGUAAUACGGAGGAUCCGAGCGUUAUCCGGAUUUAUUGGGUUUAAAGGGUGCGUAGGUGGCUUUUUAAGUCAGGGGUGAAAGACGGUAGCUUAACUAUCGCAGUGCCUUUGAUACUGAAGAGCUUGAAUGAACUAGAGGUAGGCGGAAUGUGACAAGUAGCGGUGAAAUGCAUAGAUAUGUCACAGAACACCAAUUGCGAAGGCAGCUUACUAUGG